UACGAAGGGGGCUAGCGUUGUUCGGAAUUACUGGGCGUAAAGCGCGCGCAGGCGGUCCUUCAAGUCAGAGGUGAAAGCCCAGAGCUCAACUCUGGAAUGGCCUUUGAGACUAGAGGACUUGGGUACGGGAGAGGUGAGUGGAAUUCCGAGUGUAGAGGUGAAAUUCGUAGAUAUUCGCAAGAACACCAGUGGCGAAGGCGGCUCACUGGCCCGGUACUGGACGCUGAGGCACGAAAGCGUGGGGAGCAAACAGG
rnacentral:rRNA from 1 species